AUUGAACGCUGGCGGCAUGCUUUACACAUGCAAGUCGAACGGUAACAGGGUGCUUGCACCGCUGACGAGUGGCGAACGGGUGAGUAAUGCGUCGGAACGUGCCGAGUAGUGGGGGAUAACGCAGCGAAAGUUGUGCUAAUACCGCAUACGUACUGAGGUAGAAAGUGGGGGACCUUCGGGCCUCACGCUAUUCGAGUGGCCGACGUCUGAUUAGCUAGUAGGUGAGGUAAGAGCUCACCUAGGCGACGAUCAGUAGCGGGUCUGAGAGGAUGAUCCGCCACACUGGGACUGAGACACGGCCCAGACUCCUACGGGAGGCAGCAGUGGGGAAUUUUGGACAAUGGGCGCAAGCCUGAUCCAGCCAUGCCGCGUGUCUGAAGAAGGCCUUCGGGUUGUAAAGGACUUUUGUCAGGGAGGAAAUCCUAGUGGCUAAUAACUACUGGGGAUGACAGUACCUGAAGAAUAAGCACCGGCUAACUACGUGCCAGCCGCCGCCGUAAAAC
rnacentral:rRNA from 1 species